UGCAGUCGAGCGGUAAGGCCCUUCGGGGUACACGAGCGGCGAACGGGUGAGUAACACGUGGGUAACCUGCCCUGUACUCUGGGAUAAGCCUUGGAAACGAGGUCUAAUACCGGAUACGACCUUCUGUCGCAUGGUCUGGGGUGGAAAGUUCCGGCGGUAUGGGAUGGACCCGCGGCCUAUCAGCUUGUUGGUGGGGUAAUGGCCUACCAAGGCGACGACGGGUAGCCGGCCUGAGAGGGUGACCGGCCACACUGGGACUGAGACACGGCCCAGACUCCUACGGGAGGCAGCAGUGGGGAAUAUUGCACAAUGGGCGAAAGCCUGAUGCAGCGACGCCGCGUGAGGGAUGACGGCCUUCGGGUUGUAAACCUCUUUCAGCAGGGACGAAGCGCAAGUGACGGUACCUGCAGAAGAAGCACCGGCUAACUACGUGCCAGCAGCCGCGGUAAUACGUAGGGUGCGAGCGUUGUCCGGAAUUAUUGGGCGUAAAGAGCUCGUAGGCGGUUUGUCGCGUCGGCCGUGAAAACUUGGGGCUUAACCCCGAGCCUGCGGUCGAUACGGGCAGACUUGAGUUCGGCAGGGGAGACUGGAAUUCCUGGUGUAGCGGUGAAAUGCGCAGAUAUCAGGAGGAACACCGGUGGCGAAGGCGGGUCUCUGGGCCGAUACUGACGCUGAGGAGCGAAAGCGUGGGGAGCGAACAGGAUUAGAUACCCUGGUAGUCCACGCCGUAAACGGUGGGUGCUAGGUGUGGGGGACUUCCACGUCCUCCGUGCCGCAGCUAACGCAUUAAGCACCCCGCCUGGGGAGUACGGCCGCAAGGCUAAAACUCAAAGGAAUUGAC
rnacentral:rRNA from 1 species